GCCUCUGUAGAUCAGUGGUAGAUCGCCCUAGCAGGUUAUUACCGACUUGUAAUCUUCUUAGCAGGGAGCCGUGGGUUCAAAUCCCACUAGAGGCA